UCUGCAAGUAAGGUUUUGAUUGGUGGACAUGAGCGCCAACUGGCUGGUGUUAGAUCCACAUGUGAUAAUGGAGCUAAUUUUAAUUAGAUUGUUUAUUAUGUGGAUUACUUUUUGUAUCUUUUGUGAAUUGUAAUAUUCAUUUAUUUUCUUUUUAUAAUAAUACUGUUUAUGGAAAAAACCCAGAUUUUGACAGAAGCAAACAAUCUCACAUGGCUUAGUUUAAAUACUUAUAACAUUAUUAAGACAAAAGCUAUAACUUUUAUUUAUACAUUUAACAAAACAUGGUAUUGUAUUAGUUACAUUGUAAUGAAUAAAAUAUAAUAUAAAAACUAUUUUUGGGGCACAAACAUCACAAAUUUCAUGUAGGAUUAAAAAAUGAUUGUUGCAUCGAUGUUUAUUGUACUUUUAAACACUUGUGUUGUUUGGCUUGUAAUACAGUCCUUAUAAAUAAUAAUUUAUAAAUAAAUAAUGUUUUUUAUGUACAGGUCCUUGCACAUUUCCCAUUCCAUCUGGUUAUUUGUUAUCAGGGAUCAUAUACAUGUAUUAAUAAUAAGAUUACAGGGUAGAGAUGGAAGGGUUUUAAUUUCAAGUGUAUAAUGUGUACAGUCAAAUUUUGCUUAAUGCAUGUCACAUUUUACUAUGUUAAAUGAUUUUGGGAGAUGGCCACUGAUAGAGAUGACUGUUGGAAUAAUUUUGACUAUAAGUAUUCAUUUGCCUCUGAUGUGAUUUUUACAAAUACAAAUAAAAGUGGUAAAUGUGUAAAAUAGCUCCGAAUUCCAAAUAUAACAAUCAUGUAAUUGAUAAAUGUACACAAUUUUCUUGUAGUGCCUAUAUAUAAAUUUUAAUUUUACUAUAUUUUUGGAAUAGGGUGACUCACUGUGUCGGUGUGAUUUUAUAUAAAUAUUGCUAUUAAAAGUUAAUUGGCUUGUUGAAUGAAAUAACCCUGAAGUGUGAUUGUUAAGUGGAUUUUGAAGUUACCUUUUUACAACUAAUGGUUACGUUUUAAUUUUUUCACUGAUUAAAAUAGUCUAAAAUAACAAAAAAUCUUUCAUAUACAUUUCUGUACCUAUAUCUAUAUACACAAAAAAAGAAUGUGUGUAGAAUUUGAUCUAAUGUUAAGAUUGAAUGUGAAGUUACUUGUUCAAUAGCUCAAGUGAAGGUGGAGUAUUCAUGUUUAGAAUACAUACAUGUCUUUAGAUUGGUUUUAUGCUCAGUGUUUUUUUUGGCUGGGUUUUUUCUCCCCUACAACUUUUUUCUCCUCUUAAUUAGCUAGUGUAACCUUGUUUUUAUAGCCUUGUUACAUAUUACAGUGUCACAAUUUUUAGCUUUAAAUUAAUGAAAUGAAGAAUGUCACGUUACUUUAUUUCUCAAUCAAUGGGAGAUAACCAUUUACAUUUCAUAUCAGUUGUGAUCAAGUGUCAAAAUAAUCAUCUGUUAGACACCUAAUAUCUGUAGCUUAAAAUUUACUCUCUUUAUUCAGAUAUUUCAUUCCUUUCCUUUCCUAUCAGUGUGAUAUAUUUGUCCUAUAUUGUAUGCUGGUAUGUGCCACAAAUCUGUGUUAUACUGUUAUUAUGGAAUAAACAGACAUAUGAAAAUUGUACAGUUAUACUGUUCAAAAACUAUCAAUUUUUUUUUUCAGAGGUGUGGGUGGUGGUUUAGUGGGACCUGUAGGCAUUUGAUUUUGAAUUUUUUUUUUAAAAAUUGAUAAAAUGUUUUUUUUUAAAUUGUACAAAGUACUCUAAAACACUAUAAUUUUUUCAGAGUGGGCAGGGUGGUAGCCUAGUGGGGCUUGCAAGUAGGCAUUUAAUUUGUUUUAUUUUUAUUUAUUUUUAAACAAGAAAAAACAGAGUUCAGCAGUAAAGUUGAAUAUGUGUCGUACAUUGUUUCUGUUCUUCACCAUUACUAAAUAAAAACAAACAUGCCAAAACUAUUGUAAAAUUUAAUCACUAGUGUUCAGUUUUUUUGGAUGUAUUAAAAUAGUUGUUGAAGAUUUUUUGGGUGUUUUUUUUUUUUUAAGCAACACUAUAAUUAUAAAAUUAAAAGCAGUGUUAAAUUUUAGUGAGAAGCUGCUAGAAUUGUAGCUGUGGAUAUUUUGAUAAGCUUAUAGUCAAGUUGUUAGGCUUUGUGCUAUGUUUAUGAAUGUGAAUGUUUAUCUUUAAAAAUGAUGUAGAUAAUGUAUAAAUUUUGUCAUUUUGUUAGCAAUGCAAUAUUCAGUUUAAAUAUAUGUUGUAGUGUUUUGAGUUGAACUCAUUUAUAUUUGCACAAUACAAAGACAUCCAGAAGA